rnacentral:rRNA from 1 species
GAGUUUGAUCAUGGCUCAGAUUGAACGCUGGCGGCAUGCCUUACACAUGCAAGUCGAACGGCAGCAUGAUCUAGCUUGCUAGAUUGAUGGCGAGUGGCGAACGGGUGAGUAAUACAUCGGAACGUGCCCUGUAGUGGGGGAUAACUAGUCGAAAGAUUAGCUAAUACCGCAUACGACCUGAGGGUGAAAGUGGGGGACCGCAAGGCCUCAUGCUAUAGGAGCGGCCGAUGUCUGAUUAGCUAGUUGGUGGGGUAAAGGCCCACCAAGGCGACGAUCAGUAGCUGGUCUGAGAGGACGAUCAGCCACACUGGGACUGAGACACGGCCCAGACUCCUACGGGAGGCAGCAGUGGGGAAUUUGGACAAUGGGCGAAAGCCUGAUCCAGCAAUGCCGCGUGUGUGAAGAAGGCCU